rnacentral:lncRNA from 1 species
GAGGUGGACUGUUAAAUUAAGCUGUGCUGUCAAUUUGAUUUACUUGUUUCAAGUAUUUUGCCCAGCAAUGAGAAAGCUAUCUAAUACAAUGUGUCAAGCAGAAAUGGAAAAAGCAGAAACUAUGAAAAUUCAGGUGUGAGGCACUAUUGCUCCAAAGCUACAAGCAUGGAGGCUGAGGGGUAAUAAUGAGGUGAAAAUCAGAACAAGUUUAGCCAUAGAAGGUUGAAGAAUAUUAAUAGGUGGCCCAAAGUCUUAUUUUUUUACAAAAAUGGGAAGUUAGCUGCAGAACCUCAGUACCCUCAAAUGUCAUUGGGAAGGGAUAGAAUAUAUCCUGCCCGCCGCACCCCCCCUUGCUGAAGUAUUAAUUUGCCCUUUCUCUGCUGUCUCAUAAGCAUUUAUAUCAACGUUCACAAGCUUUCAGCUCUGAUUUAGGAGGCAGUUCUUCAAAGACAGAGUAAAGAUCUUCAAUUUCUUCUUCAUCCCUGUCCAGCACUCUGCACAAGAGCUGGUGUUCAAUAAAUGUUUUUGGAACUCAGAUAUGAGGGAUGAGCAAAAUGCCUUGAAUGAAAUAUGUUGUUGUUGUUUUUUCUUUUUCCUGGAUCCCAGACAGAAAAUGCCCAUUUGCUGGUCAUCGAGCUGGGGACAAGCUCUGCAGGUGAUGUGGGCAUGUACUCCAGGACCGUACCGCCAAGGACUCUACAGCCUAGAAGGCGCUGCGGUCAGGGUUUCCCUCGCAGGGGCUGAACAUCGCACCUCCCACCUCUAUCCCCUACCAAGAGGCCAGCAACCGUUCAUGUCCUUAAGAUGUUUUUGGACCCAGUCCAGAAAAUCUCUGGCAUUAACGCAUGCUCACGCUGUUCUGUGUUUCCAUUGGGCACAUUUCCAGAGGUGUUUCGUCAGCCUGGAGCCUUUGGCCUUCACACCGACUUAAGCCUGGCUCUGUCAGCCCUCUUCACCACCACACAGCACGCAUUCCAGGCAAGCCAAGACUGUGGUCACAGGACUGGGGAGUCUUGUUCCUUCUGGUAAAAGUCUCCUGUUUUCAAAUCUAUUUCAAGAAGUCUAUGGGAGGUAUGACAAUAUGAAGAUUUUUACUGUAAGUGAAAGGAUUAAAGGGGCGAGUGCUGACUCAGCAAUAUUCGCCCGGCUGCGACCCAUUUCUCAAUUUACGGAAUGAGUGCAUUAUCCGAUUGUUUUUCAUUCUUUAUAGGUCCC